rnacentral:rRNA from 1 species
GUUGUAUAGUCAAGUAAUUAAGUGCAUGUGGUGGAUGCCUUGGCAGUCAGAGGCGAUGAAAGACGUGAUAGCCUGCGAAAAGCUCCGGGGAGGCGGCAAAUAUCCUUUGAUCCGGAGAUGUCUGAAUGGGGGAACCCACCUACUUUAAGGUAGGUAUUGCAACAUGAAUACAUAGUGUUGCAAGGCGAACGAGGGGAAGUGAAACAUCUCAGUACCCUUAGGAAAAGAAAUCAAUUGAGAUUCCCUCAGUAGCGGCGAGCGAACGGGGAUCAGCCCAUUAAGUUAUGUGUGUUUUAGUGGAACGCUCUGGGAAGUGCGAACGUAGAGGGUGAUAUUCCCGUACACGAAAGGGCACACAUAAUGAUGACGAGUAGGGCGAGGCACGUGAAACCUUGUCUGAAUAUGGGGGGACCAUCCUCCAAGGCUAAAUACUCCUGACUGACCGAUAGUGAACCAGUACCGUGAGGGAAAGGCGAAAAGAACCCCUGUGAGGGGAGUGAAAUAGAUCCUGAAACCGCAUGCAUACAAGCAGUGGGAGCACCUUCGUGGUGUGACUGCGUACCUUUUGUAUAAUGGGUCAGCGACUUAUAUUCAGUAGCGAGGUUAACCGUAUAGGGGAGCCGUAGAGAAAUCGAGUCUUAAUAGGGCGUUUAGUUGCUGGGUAUAGACCCGAAACCAGGCGAUCUAUCCAUGAGCAGGUUGAAGGUUGGGUAACACUAACUGGAGGACCGAACCCACUGUCGUUGAAAAGCCAGGGGAUGACUUGUGGAUAGGGGUGAAAGGCUAAUCAAGCCUGGUGAUAGCUGGUUCUCCCCGAAAGCUAUUUAGGUAGCGCCUCGGACGAAUACCAUAGGGGGUAGAGCACUGUUUCGGCUAGGGGGUCAUCCCGACUUACCAAACCGAUGCAAACUCCGAAUACCUAUGAGUACUAUCCGGGAGACAGACUGCGGGUGCUAACGUCCGUAGUCAAGAGGAAAACAAUCCAGACCGCCAGCUAAGGCCCCAAAAUCAUAGUUAAGUGGGAAACGAUGUGGGAAGGCAUAGACAGCUAGGAGGUUGGCUUANNNNNNNNNNNNGAAGCAGCCACCCUUUAAAGAAAGCGUAAUAGCUCACUAGUCGAGUCGGCCUGCGCGGAAGAUGUAACGGGGCUAAAACUAUGUGCCGAAGCUGCGGAUGUAUACUUUGUAUACGUGGUAGGGGAGCGUUCUGUAAGCCGAUGAAGGUGUGUUGAGAAGCAUGCUGGAGGUAUCAGAAGUGCGAAUGCUGACGUGAGUAACGACAAAACGGGUGAAAAACCCGUUCGCCGAAAGACCAAGGGUUCCAGUCCAACGUUAA